rnacentral:rRNA from 1 species
CCUGCCUGUAAGACUGGGAUAACUCCGGGAAACCGGGGCUAAUACCGGAUACUUGUUUGAACCGCAUGGUUCAAACAUAAAAGGUGGCUUCGGCUACCACUUACAGAUGGACCCGCGGCGCAUUAGCUAGUUGGUGAGGUAAUGGCUCACCAAGGCAACGAUGCGUAGCCGACCUGAGAGGGUGAUCGGCCACACUGGGACUGAGACACGGCCCAGACUCCUACGGGAGGCAGCAGUAGGGAAUCUUCCGCAAUGGACGAAAGUCUGACGGAGCAACGCCGCGUGAGUGAUGAAGGUUUUCGGAUCGUAAAGCUCUGUUGUUAGGGAAGAACAAGUGCCGUUCAAAUAGGGCGGCACCUUGACGGUACCUAACCAGAAAGCCACGGCUAACUACGUGCCAGCAGCCGCGGUAAUACGUAGGUGGCAAGCGUUGUCCGGAAUUAUUGGGCGUAAAGGGCUCGCAGGCGGUUUCUUAAGUCUGAUGUGAAAGCCCCCGGCUCAACCGGGGAGGGUC